GGCUCAGACGGUAAAGCAUCUGCCUAUAAUGCAGGAGACCCAGGUUCAAUCCCUGG
rnacentral:tRNA from 1 species